rnacentral:rRNA from 1 species
UACGAAGGGUGCAAACGUUGCUCGGAAUUAUUGGGCGUAAAGCGCACGUAGGCGGCAUUGCAAGUCGGAUGUGAAAUCCCACCGCUCAACGGUGGAACUGCUGGGCAUACUGGCGAUCUUGAGCCACCUAGGGGCAGACGGAACAAGCGGUGGAGCGGUGAAAUGCGUAGAUAUCGCUUGGAACGCCGACGGUGAAAACAGUCUGCUGGGGGUGUGCUGACGCUGAGACACGAAAGCCAGGGGAGCGAACGGG